rnacentral:rRNA from 1 species
ACGCACGCUGGCGGCGUGCCUAAUACAUGCAAGUAGAACGCUGAAGGAGGAGCUUGCUUCUCUGGAUGAGUUGCGAACGGGUGAGUAACGCGUAGGUAACCUGCCUGGUAGCGGGGGAUAACUAUUGGAAACGAUAGCUAAUACCGCAUAAUAGCAGUUGUUGCAUGACAACUGUUUGAAGGGUGCAAUUGCACCACUACCAGAUGGACCUGCGUUGUAUUAGCUAGUUGGUGGGGUAACGGCUCACCAAGGCGACGAUACAUAGCCGACCUGAGAGGGUGAUCGGCCACACUGGGACUGAGACACGGCCCAGACUCCUACGGGAGGCAGCAGUAGGGAAUCUUCGGCAAUGGACGGAAGUCUGACCGAGCAACGCCGCGUGAGUGAAGAAGGUUUUCGGAUCGUAAAGCUCUGUUGUAAGAGAAGAACGAGUGUGAGAGUGGAAAGUUCACACUGUGACGGUAUCUUACCAGAAAGGGACGGCUAACUACGUG